rnacentral:rRNA from 1 species
GACGUAGGGGGCAAGCGUUAUUCGGAAUUAUUGGGCGUAAAGCGCUCGUAGGCGGGACUGGAAGUCCGUGUUGAAAGACCUCGGCUCAACUGAGGGACCGGCUCGGAUACUCUAGUUCUUGAGGCAAUCAGAGGGUGAUGGAAUUCCCGGUGUAGCGGUGAAAUGCGUAGAGAUCGGGAGGAACACCAGUGGCGAAGGCGGCCAUCUGGAUCAACACUGACGCUGAGGCACGAAAGCGUGGGGAGCAAACAGG